rnacentral:rRNA from 1 species
CCUACGGGACGCAGCAGUGGGGAAUAUUGCACAAUGGGGGAAACCCUGAUGCAGCGACGCCGCGUGAGUGAAGAAGUAUUUCGGUAUGUAAAGCUCUAUCAGCAGGGAAGAAAAUGACGGUACCUGACCAAGAAGCCCCGGCUAACUACGUGCCAGCAGCCGCGGUAAUACGUAGGGGGCAAGCGUUAUCCGGAUUUACUGGGUGUAAAGGGAGCGUAGACGGUUGUGCAAGUCAGAAGUGAAAGCCCGGGGCUCAACUCCGGGACUGCUUUUGAAACUGUGAAACUGGAGUGCAGGAGAGGUAA